GACGAACGCUGGCGGCGUGCUUAACACAUGCAAGUCGAACGGAGUUAAGGAGCUUGCUUCUUAACUUAGUGGCGAACGGGUGAGUAACGCGUGAGGAACCUGCCUUUCAGAGGGGGACAACAGUUGGAAACGACUGCUAAUACCGCAUGAUACUUGCGAAUGGCAUCAUUUGCAAGUCAAAGAUUUAUCGCUGAAAGAUGGCCUCGCGUCUGAUUAGCUAGUUGGUGGGGUAACGGCCCACCAAGGCGACGAUCAGUAGCCGGACUGAGAGGUUGACCGGCCACAUUGGGACUGAGAUACGGCCCAG
rnacentral:rRNA from 1 species